rnacentral:rRNA from 1 species
AUUGAACGCUGGCGGAAUGCUUUACACAUGCAAGUCGAACGGCAGCACGGGGGCAACCCUGGUGGCGAGUGGCGAACGGGUGAGUAAUACAUCGGAACGUGCCCAGUCGUGGGGGAUAACGUAGCGAAAGUUACGCUAAUACCGCAUACGAUCUACGGAUGAAAGCGGGGGACCGUAAGGCCUCGCGCGAUUGGAGCGGCCGAUGUCAGAUUAGGUAGUUGGUGAGGUAAAGGCUCACCAAGCCGACGAUCUGUAGCUGGUCUGAGAGGACGAGCAGCCACACUGGGACUGAGACACGGCCCAGACUCCUACGGGAGGCAGCAGUGGGGAAUUUUGGACAAUGGGCGCAAGCCUGAUCCAGCCAUUCCGCGUGCAGGAAGAAGGCCUUCGGGUUGUAAACUGCUUUUGUACGGAACGAAAAGGCUCUGGUUAAUACCUGGGGCUCAUGACGGUACCGUAAGAAUAAGCACCGGCUAACUACGUGCCAGCCGCCGCAGUAA